rnacentral:tRNA from 1 species
UCCCUGGUGGCUCAGAUGGUAAAGAAUCUGCCUACAAUGCAGGAGACCCAGGUUCAAACCUGAGUCAGGGAU